AAGAAUGCAUAGGGGAGCUGGUAAGCCGGCUGAGAGGAAGUGUGGUGCUUCGACCCUUAGACCUGAUCUGGGUAAUGCCAGCGUAGGAAGCGCUUUGAAAAGCGGC
rnacentral:ncRNA from 2 species